GUACUUCAAAACUUGUUCUCUCCGAGACGGAUCCCGAGUAGUGCGGGGCACGUGAAACCCCGUAUGAAUCCGGCAGGACCAUCUGCCAAGGCUAAAUACUCCCUGGCGACCGAUAGUGAAGCAGUACCGUGAGGGAAAGGUGAAAAGCACCCCGGAAGGGGAGUGAAAUAGAUCCUGAAACCGUGUGCUUACAAGAAGUCAGAGCCCUAUGUAU
rnacentral:rRNA from 1 species